CUACGGGCGGCUGCAGUGAGGAAUAUUGCACAAUGGGAGAAACCCUGAUGCAGCAACGCCGCGUGGAGGAUGACGCAUUUCGGUGUGUAAACUCCUUUUAUAUGUCAAGAAAAUGACGGUAGCAUAUGAAUAAGCACCGGCUAACUCCGUGCCAGCAGCCGCGGUAAUACGGAGGGUGCAAGCGUUACUCGGAAUCACUGGGCGUAAAGGACGCGUAGGCGGGUUGGAAAGUCAGGUGUGAAAUCCUACAGCUUAACUGUAGAACUGCACUUGAAACUUCUAAUCUAGAGUAUGGGAGGGGGAGAUGGAAUUAGUGGUGUAGGGGUAAAAUCCGUAGAUAUCACUAGAAAUACCUAAAGCGAAGGCGAUCUCCUGGAACAUUACUGACGCUAAGGCGUGAAAGCGUGGGGAGCAAACAGGAUUAGAUACCCUUGUAGUC
rnacentral:rRNA from 1 species